rnacentral:rRNA from 1 species
AUUGAACGCUGGCGGCAGGCCUAAUACAUGCAAGUCGAGCGGAGCGGCGGAAGGGUGAGUAAUGCCUAGGAAUCUGUCUGGUAGUCGGGGCUAACGUCCGGGAACGGGAGCUAAUACCGCAUACUAUCAGAUGAGCCUAGGUCGGAUGAGCUAGUUGGUGGGGUAAAGGCCUACCAAGGUGGCGAUCCGUAACCGGACUGAGAGGAUGAUCAGUCACACUGGAACUGAGACACGGUCCAGACUCCUACGGGAGGCAGCAGUAGGGAAUAUUGGUCAAUGGGCGAAAGCCUGAUCCAGCCAGGCCGCGUGUGUGAAGAAGGUCUUCGGAUUGUAAAGCUCUUUAGGUUGAGAGGCGUUACCAACAGAAUAAGCACCGGCUAACUUCGUGCCAGCAGCCGCGGUAAUAC